rnacentral:tRNA from 3 species
GCCGGUGUGUUGGAAUUGGCAGACGAGACGGACUCAAAAUCCGUUGCGGGCAACCGCGUGUGGGUUCGACCCCCACCACCGGCACCA